rnacentral:rRNA from 1 species
GUAGGUGGCAAGCGUUGUCCGGAAUUAUUGGGCGUAAAGCGCGCGCAGGCGGUUCUUUAAGUCUGAUGUGAAAGCCCACGGCUCAACCGUGGAGGGUCAUUGGAAACUGGAGAACUUGAGUACAGAAGAGGAAAGCGGAAUUCCACGUGUAGCGGUGAAAUGCGUAGAGAUGUGGAGGAACACCAGUGGCGAAGGCGGCUUUCUGGUCUGUAACUGACGCUGAGGCGCGAAAGCGUGGGGGAGCAAACAGGAUUAGAUACCCUGGUAGUCCACGCCGUAAACGAUGAGUGCUAAGUGUUAGGGGGUUUCCGCCCCUUAGUGCUGCAGCUAACGCAUUAAGCACUCCGCCUGGGAGUACGGCGCAGGCUG